CCAGACUCCUACGGGAGGCAGCAGUGAGGAAUAUUGGUCAAUGGGCGGGAGCCUGAACCAGCCAAGUCGCGUGAGGGAAGACGGUCCUAUGGAUUGUAAACCUCUUUUGUCAGGGAGCAACGCCGGCUACGUGUAGCCGGACUGAGAGUACCUGAAGAAAAAGCAUCGGCUAACUCCGUGCCAGCAGCCGCGGUAAUACGGAGGAUGCGAGCGUUAUCCGGAUUUAUUGGGUUUAAAGGGUGCGUAGGCGGGCUUUUAAGUCAGCGGUAAAAAUUCGGGGCUCAACCCCGUCCGGCCGUUGAAACUGGCGUUCUUGAGUGGGCGAGAAGUAUGCGGAAUGCGUGGUGUAGCGGUGAAAUGCAUAGAUAUCACGCAGAACUCCGAUUGCGAAGGCAGCAUACCGGCGCCCAACUGACGCUGAAGCACGAAAGCGUGGGUAUCGAACAGGAUUAGAUACCCGUGUA
rnacentral:rRNA from 1 species